UUGCGUGGCAGCACUUUGUGCCGAUAGAAAUGUUCCUAUUUUUUUUUUACGUCAGUUUUCCUCUUUUUUGUUUUUUUCCCCCAAAGGGUGCUCACAUGCCUGCAUGCAUGGCCGCCUAUUACUGUAUUACUGUACACACCCUCCUCACAAGUCAUCACAAUGACAUUUUGUUCAACUUUAGAUGCAGAUGACUCACAGGGCGUCCUCUCGAUGGAUGAAGUCAAGAGGUUUGAUCAUUCCCUGCUGCUUCUCCCUGCAACAAAAGAGGGCACUCCAAAACUGAUGCAUCAGCGCUGCAGCCGCCUAUAAGGAUUUCACACCAGUGACUAGCACUAUCUCACAACGCCACCUGAGGCUGGAGGACCUGGCUCAGCUCCCAAACUGACUUGGAGCCUUUGAAGGCCACAAACGAAGGGUCGCGGGGGCCUAUCCCAGCUGCACACGGGCGGUAGGCGGGGUACACCCUGGACAAGUCGCCACCUCAUCACAGAGCCAACACAGAUAAACAGACAAC